AUUGAACGCUGGCGGCAGGCCUAACACAUGCAAGUCGAGCGCGAAAGUUCUUCGGAAUGAGUAAAGCGGCGGACGGGUGAGUAAUACAUGGGAAUCUGCCUGGUAGUGGGGGACAACGUUUCGAAAGGAACGCUAAUACCGCAUACGCCCUACGGGGAAAAGGGGGGGAUCUUCGGACCUCUCGCUAUCAGAUGAGCCCA
rnacentral:rRNA from 1 species